rnacentral:rRNA from 1 species
GACGAACGCUGGCGGCGUGCUUAACACAUGCAAGUCGAACGGAAAGGCCCUGCUUUUGUGGGGUGCUCGAGUGGCGAACGGGUGAGUAACACGUGAGUAACCUGCCCUUGACUUUGGGAUAACUUCAGGAAACUGGGCUAAUACCGGAUAGGAGCUCCUGCUUCAUGGGGGGGGUUGGAAAGUUUCGGCGGUUGGGGAUGGACUCGCGGCUUAUCAGCUUGUUGGUGGGGUAGUGGCUUACCAAGGCUUUGACGGGUAGCCGGCCUGAGAGGGUGACCGGCCACAUUGGGACUGAGAUACGGCCCAGACUCCUACGGGAGGCAGCAGUGGGGAAUAUUGCACAAUGGGCGGAAGCCUGAUGCAGCAACGCCGCGUGCGGGAUGACGGCCUUCGGGUUGUAAACCGCUUUCGCCUGUGACGAAGCGUGAGUGACGGUAAUGGGUAAAGAAGCACCGGCUAACUACGUG